rnacentral:piRNA from 1 species
UCCUUUCCUUGUAAUACAGGAUAACUCCA